CUCUAGAUUGGAUCUGCCAAGGUUCCGCUUCGUGGCAGCGGAGUCUCCUCCCGAAAAGUUCCUCCUUAUUUUUUUCUCAUUGAAAGACUUCAUAUAGGAAAAGAUGGACGCCGAAGAGCCACCAAGGGGCCCACGAGGUAGGGGGCGCCUUAGGAGGGCGCCCCCACCCUCGUGAGAAGGGUGUGGGCCCCCCGACCUUCAUCUUUGGCGAGAAUUUUACUUUAUUUAUUUUAAGACGUUCCUUGGAGUUUCAGGACUUUUAGAAUUGCACAGAGUAGGUCUCUAAUAUUUGCUCUUUUUCCAUCCCAGAAUUCCAGCUGUCGGCAUUUUCCCUUUUCAUGUAAACCUUGUAAAAUAAGAUAGAAUAGCCAUAAGUAUUGUGACAUAAAAUGAAAUAACAUCCCAUAAUGCAAUAAAUAUCGAUAUAAAAGCAUGAUGCAAAAUGGACGUAUCACACCACUGCCACCACCGGAGUGCACUGCAGACUUCAAACUGAACCUUGGGAGCUGCUCACACCGUUUUGGCAUCUACUUUACUGCACCCCUUUUUUGAGAUGAACUCGGGAAGAUGAAGAUGCCAGCCGGCUAUAGUUUUUUCUCUCAAAAUCAAGUGAGUGAUGUGCAAACAACACCCUCACCUAUCCCGUGUUUGCCUGUUCAUCGAUGGGGAGAAAAGGAGGCCCGAGGGGAGGGAGGUGCGGUGGUUCUCCACAGAGGGGAGGAAGGGGGGGAAUACAGGGGGCAGCUCACCGGUGGACUGAGGGAGGGAGGCAAGUCAACUUCACGCGCCUAUGGGCCGAACUCCACGGCCGCACCAACGGAGCCCCUGCGAGCGAACUGCAGCACCACUGCACCGUCGUCAUCAUCCCGUGGCAGAAGGCGCCCAUGGCCGUAUCUCGCCGGGAAGCGGACCCCACGAUGCUAGUGGGGCCUCGGUGGAGGAGGACACUCACCGUAGGAGGGGAAGGGGGAGGGGUUGGGGAUGAACGCACAUCUCGAUGGAUCCUCACCGAUGAUCGUCAGAUGGAGGUGAGGACGGGGGAGGGAGCACCGCAUCUGGAAGGUAGCCGGCCGGGGGGUAGGUGGGUCACUACCACUUCUAUUCGCGGCCAGAUCUGGGUCGUGGGGCGCGCGUUGUGGUGGCGCGCGGGGGAGCAGCAGAUCGGGGCCCCGAAGCGUGGUGAAGUGCUGGGCGGCGGCCGAUCCGGUCAUUGAGGCAUGGGACGGCGACGCUGGGCGGGACCUCCUGGCAUCGGUGGUGCCUGGGAAGUGGGCGGCGCAGGGAGAAAGGUGGGCGAGGAGCACGGGGAGAAAGGCAGGGGCGUGGUAGCGCGUCGGUUGGGGUUGCUGGGCGGCGACGAGAAGGAGGGUAACGGGGCGGCGGGCCGGAGCAAGGGGGGACCGGCGACGGAGGGUUGGCGCAGAGGAGAAGGCGUAGAGUGGUGGUGGAUCGGGGGUUGUGUCGUGGAGGUAGGUGGUGGGGGUCAGUUGCGGGAAGGAGGCGGAUCAGGUGGGAGCAAAGUUUUUUUUUUCCUUUUGCUGUAGUUCGUUUUCAUGUGGUGUUUGCCUGUUCGGUUCGGGUGGGUAGGUUAAUAGGGUGUUAUCAGAAUAAGGAGGUGGUGUUAUUAGAAUAGAUCCACCCUAUAUAUAUAUAUGGUAUCCCUUCGCUUUUUCUUCCUCACAUACAUAAUCUCGUCAAGCCUAUUAUUCUUUAUCGUGUCAAAAUUAACUUCUCUGUAAUUGAAGCAACCAAUUUCUCUGAACUGGCCAUUGAUUUAUACCUUCUCUCACUAACACACUCACACACACAAUACUACGUUGCUCUUACAGUUCAUUUGUUGGUAUGUGCUUCACAAUGGCAUACAUAUAAAGUGUGCAUAGUGUAUCCUUUUUGGCGAUCUUUAUACACACAUUUACUAUUCGAAUUUUCUUAGUUUCGCACUUUUCUCUUGUCCAUACUUCCAAUAAUGGUGAACUUCAUUAGUAUCAAAAAAAAUCACGGAUGCCUUCCCUCAUCUUCACUCUCCUCAUUUCAUACACAUUGUUGUUGAUACAUCUACUACAUGCCUUUUAUUUUUGCAUUGGUACAAACACUCGGUAUAUCUUUAUAUAUCCGAGGCAUGUAAUGUUUACAUCUUUUACUGCUACAACCUGAAUCAUGUUGAAAAAAACAAAUGGGUUAUUUAUUUAAAUCUUAUUGUAUGUUUCCUGUUAUAUACAUAUUUACCAUGUUCAACUAAUGCCAAUAUAAGCAUUGUAGAUCAUUCUUUUCCUCUAGAGAUAUAUUAGUUGUGUCUAACACUUUUUCUGUAGAUAUAAUCAUGAAAAUAGAUGGGCUUCGCAUUUCAAUAUGUGAAAACGUGUCCUUGAAACUUCUGUCAAAAAUGUUUUUGAACAUAAAGUACCCAAGACCUAAGUGAUUGCUAUUUUCAAACAAGGUAGAUAAAUUUUUCUCCUUGCAGGUAGGUACAGACUUUUGAUGGAUUUGAUUUGACCCAAUCUUGCUUGGCUAAUAUAUUGUUUAGACAAUUGUCCAGUUCUGUUUAGCUAUAUGAGGCUCAGGUUUACCUGUAUAGUUACGUACUAUUAUGAUGGAAAGGUAUAGUAUAGUUAUAUUUUAGGAAAGUAAGCCUUCCGCAUGCAUGCAUGCACUUUUAACAUUUGGUUAAAUAGAUGUAUGCCAUUGCAGUUCUAGUUUGCGGGAUCAAGUAUUAGUUGAACAUGAAUCAGAAUCAGUCUGUAGGUACAUACAACUAUUUCUCCUACUUCUAAUCUAUUCGUCUUGCUGAUGCUAAAGUUUACAUCAUAUGCUUACUGAUUGAAUCGAUAUCGGUUAACAUGUGCUUGACUCGUCCACUUUUCCUUUUCUAAUUUGGAUCGAUUUCUUCUAUACAGAUUCUUCAUGGCAAAGGCAUACCUUUUGCUUUUCAGCAGGAGCUAGCUUGGAAGGCCAUUAUAUAAACACUAUUCUGAUCAUGGGAUCAGAAUAUUAUUCUGCUCACAACCUGAACUUCUUGAGUUACAAAACCUGAACUUCGCUUUGUACGAACCCGACCUUCGGGCUAUCGUCGCAACCGUUUCUGUAUGUGAUGUAAGUGUAAUCUAGAAACGGUUUUUGGCAACUAAAUGCCCGUUUUAAAUAGGAAUCUCGCUCGUUGGCAGAUUUUGCUCUCGGGUUGUGAUGAACAUGCGGCUGUUGCAAUUUUACUGUCUGAGUUGUUCGACCUGAACUUCCCCCCAGUGCUAGGUUGAACUUCCGCAAACAUUGCCCAAAUGGGGCUUGCGAUAUACUGUUGGAAAGCUAUGGACACGAGUAUCAUGAUCCAAAUUAAAUUUUCAGCAAAAUGUAAGCGGUUUAAGAGCAGUUUUGAAAACCAUUUUUUCUUCAUACAAAAACGUGAAUCGUAUUUUCAAUCUCAUUUCUAAACCGUUUAUUGAAUAAGGAAAAUAAUAUGGCAUUGGAAAGCUGCUGCAAAACCGCUCCUUCCACAUGUUGAAAGUUUUCUCUAAAUCUAUACCUAUACUAAUUAGCGACUUCCAAGAAAUUACCACGUUAAAUAGAAUUUAUGAGCCGUUCAUCUCUGAUGGGACCGAAUUAUUAUGGUAUAGAUCCACUCAUAUAAUCUUAGGCUAAAAAACAAGAGAUGCCACGUCCCUACAGAUGCCCUCAAAAAAUAAACUCCCACGAUCCAACUCUCCCCGUCUCUCAUGUAUAUCUCCAAAAAGGAAACAAACAAUCUCACGUAUAUCUCCCUCUAGUUUAACUGACUCACGAUCCAAAUAUCUCAUCCUCUCAUGUCCUAAAAAAACUCCCACGAUCCAACUCCCCCAAUCUCUCAUGUAUCUCUCUAGAAAAAUAUCUCACACGCAUAUAUAUCGCUCACAAUCCAAAUCUCUCAAUCUCUCAUGUACGCAUCUCUCUCCCAUUGUGAUGGAAAAAAGAGCCAACCUGACCUAACUUACAUGUAUUAAAAGUCAGUUUUCAAGGAUCCACGUUAAUCUUAGGUCUGAGUUUGUUUUGUUGGAAAAAAGGGAAGCCCACGUCGAUCCCCUCCAUGCCACCUCCGAUCUCCUCUUUCUAGCUGCCGCCUCUCAACUCCUCCUUUCUGGCUCCCCAACCUCCUGAUCUACUCCUUGUUGCCAUCUCCAUCUCCACGCACUGUUGGCACCAGUUUAGCUUAUCAUUGCUAAGCCCACGCUUCCUCGAUCUAGCUUGGCACGCAUCCACCCUCUUCUCCAAGAGUAAUAAGGAUUCAUGCAAAUUUGAUGUGUCUCUUGCUAGACGUCAAGAUCUAUACAAUUUACUUGAGUGUAUCUCCGUUUUCAAUCUUAUGUGUCCUCUACAAAUUGAAUUGUCCAUCACUACAUAUGUGUGCAGAACACAUCUUGGCCUGAGGUGCUUGCAUUUUUUUCUUUUUGCUUUGAUUCCUUUCUAUGAUACAACUAACUGUUGCUUUUCUUACAGAUAUAUUAGUAUAUACAUGUUCCAUUGGUUGAUGCAUUUAUGUGAUAUGCCGAUCCUAAUAAGCACUCCCGAUCACCGACGUGCAUAGCCUAAGAUGAGUGCCAGCUAGCUCGGGGAACUCCUGCUGUAUGCGUCGGACACCGGCUUCGUCCCCCAUAUGUGAAGCAAUGGCACUAUGCAGGUUCGAUCUAUAUACAACUUUAUAAACAUGGAAAGUAAUAUAAGAUGUCCUUUUGAUCUUUUUCACAGGCUGAUUGAGACCACAAGAAGAGACAACAGUUUGUCGACAGGAAAAGUAUGGAUGGAAAUUUUACAUGUGUGCCCAUCUUUGUUCUUCACCUCCCCUACCAGCCAUUGUUCAUAUUCGAAGUGAAAAACCAUGUCUAUAUACAACAUGGACCUGCUACACUAAAUAGUAAAUAUACAUCAACAUUGGGUCAUCAACUUCAGAGACUUUCAUCCUGUUGUGUUGUGGUGUCACGGAGACAUUCAAAGGUGUCAAAUGCAAGAAGGCCAAUAGUGUAUGCAUGUGAUACUACACUAAUUUAUCCUCUUUACAACCUAUAUAUGUUCAUCUAAUAACUGUUUUUUCUCAACAAAAGGCUGGAUCAUGCAGAUCGAUAUAAUAUAUCAUUGCCGAGACAUAUUAGAUAGAAAUUUGCAAUAGACCACUUCCGCAAAACUCCCUUGCAGAGCUGCAAUCAAGGUCUUUGAAAUUUCUCCUCAGUCCAUCUAUCUAAUGUGGUUCCAUAUCUUGCAGCCAAAUGGUGAGAAGGAGAAUAAUCCAGUGCCAAAGGCUACAUCUUCUGGAGCAACCGCGACAUCAGGAUCAUGAAUGUUGAGGCUCCCAUAGUCUAGUGCAGUACUAGGUAAAGUAAUUUCUGGCAGUUGCCCUGAGCAACGAUAUAGAUAGCAGUUUAUCAUCCAACGAUUAGUUCUUCCUUUUGUUCAUUGUUGUGCUUAAUCAUUACCUUUACAGGUAAUUCUGAAUCCAGUGUGAUCCAUGAUCAAGUUUAUAUAAUGCAUAAAUAAAUCCCCUACUCUAGAUCUUUUUUAUGUACAUUUGUAGAUGUACCUGAGUGUUGAUUUUAAUUAUGUCACCUAUCCAUGAAUGCUACGAGUGGUGUACUGCUACUUCUUUAGAUCGUUCAUGGUAUAUUUUGCAUAGGACAUUUCGAACCUAUUUGAAAGCAUAUAUGUUAACCUACUAAUCCAUAUACCCUCACAAAAAUAAACCCUACUAAUCCAUAUAUAUGGUUUAUAUCCUUAUUAUGUUAAUUUAUUAUUUGGGAAUAAUUGGGUAUAUAUAUGAGUGUAUCUAUAGACUAUGGCGCUUUUUUCUCUCUACUAAAGAUUUAGAAGUAUCUGCACAUGCCGCAGACACAAGAUACAAUGCCCAGGGUUAUAUGUAAAAUUUAGUUAGCCUAUUUGUUUCUAAAUCAUCAAGAAUUAACCUAUGUUUUAAUAUGAAAUGAUCAUGCUGGAAUUAACUAUAUGAUGGUCUGAACAAACAUGGUGCUAUUUAUGGUGAGCUGAUUAGUUGUAGGGCUAUUGAACAUAUUUAAUGCAGUUUGGGCGCAAAAUCCUUCAGCUUAACCAUUCCUACAUAUACAUUAUCCUGCAUAUAUACUUCACUAAAUGGUGUACUGUUCAUCCUAAAUGAUUACUAUUCUGUAAACAACCACUAUCUAUGACAUGUGUGUGUGUGUGUGUGUGUGUGUGUGUGUGUUAGAUUUCAUUAGGUUCGAAGGAAGUUUACCUUACAUACCGUGAUUGUAUUCUUUUCCAGAUUACUACUGCACACUCAGAUUCAUUCCCUUUCCUUUUUUUGACAAAACACAACAUCACUGCAUUUACAUUCAGAACAGGAAGUAAAGUUGUGACGCCCGGAUAUGUAGGCUACAGUAAUCACAUACUAAUGAUGCCAUGUCACCGCGGUCACUAUUGUUAAUCUCGCGUUAGUCCAAAACCGAGUCAAAUUCAAAUUUCAAAUAACAAGUCAAAUUAUUAUUUCUUAAACUAUCAAAUAAAAAUGUUCAAUGGGCGGUAAAUAUUCACUAAGUAAUGAUCAUGUUGGAACCAACCUCAUUUGGUUUCCUAAUUUCCCCAUGGAAUUAAUUUAGUGGAACAACUAGAUUAAAUAAGAGCAAUUUAAUUCAACUAUAAACUUGAACAGUUCCAAUUGGCCUCAAACUUUUUGUGCAACCUUAUAGUGUUGACUAGGAAUUAUGUGCAAUGUUUCAUAGUCAACAAAAAUCAUUUGGCAGAUUAAAAUGAAUAGAAAAUAGUAAGAGAAAAAAAAUAAGUAAAAGGGAAAAUAUACUAUACCUACUGUGCAAUUAAGCCUAUUGCAAUAGUACUCAGGCCCAGCCCACCAAAGGCCUUCUCCUGUAUCUGUACAUAGGAGGAGGCAGGAGCUCGCCGUGGCGCGCAUCCGCGGCCACCACGGUUCGAUGCUCCCCACCGAGGCGCUACAGGAGCAACACGAGAUGGAUAAGAAGAUCCCCGACCCGGUAGACAAACCCUAGCCCUCGCUCAUCCUCUCGCUCGUCCUCUCCUUCUCGGUUUGGUUCGCUUCCGAGCUACCGUCGACGCGCCGUCGCCGUCCACGUGGCCACCGGCCUCCCCGGCGACCGGGAGGUUGUCCAGGGACUUCCUCGUCACCGACUCCGUCAUCACCGUGCAUCCGUUCGACAGGAGACGCACCGUGCGCUCGGGAUCGAGCCGGUUUCUCCGCCAUGGCCGCGGCAUCUCACCAUUGAUCUACACCACCGCGCCACCUCGGCCGUCGCAAGCAUGUCCCCGGCCUUCCUCUCGGUGAUUCGCGCCGAUUCCCCUCUUCCCCCGUCGAAUCCAUAGCCGUAUGCCUUCGCCACCGCGUGCCCGGAUCUCUGUGGGAGCUCGUGGUCACCACCACUUCUGCCUUGCUUCCCCGCGCCCAUGCGUGCAUCGGCCACGUUCUCUGGACGCGACCGCCUACGCGUGGCUGCACGCCCCUGGCCUUGCCUUGGCGUGCCGCGGCGCGCCCGUAGCCACCCUUGUCCGCACUCGCUGUACCGCUGGUGUCUGCUUACUGCAGUGCUGCACCGCGGCCCGCCGUCGCGCCCGCCGGCGUGCUUCCUGGCCGCGGCCACCCCUGCGCCUGGGCUCGCUCACGCCUGCCUGCUGCCUACUGCUUGCUGCUACUGCAUCUUGCUGCUUGCCGCUGCUUGCUACUGCUCUUAGCGGCCGCUGCUGCUGAACUACCUCUACUGCUGCCGCUGCAGGCCAACAGCCAUGGCCAAGAGCGGCUAAGUGUGUGUGUAUGCAGCGUGGUGUGCGUGAGUGUGCUAGGUGUGUGUUUGUGUGUGGUCGGCUUAAUUAGUACUACUAGUUUAGGGACUAAUUUAGUUAGUUAGUCUAGUUAUAGUAGUACUAGUUGAUUAGUUCAAUAAUAAAUGGCAUGGGGAACCCCCUGUUAGUUUAAAGAAAAACAAAUUUUAAUAAAAGUCUAUGUCAAUGACAUGUGGCCCUACACUGUUGAUAUGUUGAGUUGUCAAUAUUUGACUGGGUCAACCCAACACCACUGGCCACACUGGCAUACACUACGGCUAGAAAAUUAAUGAAAACUUUAAAAAUUAAUAUAAAAUAAAACCAUAACUCGGAUGAAAAAACUCUGUACAUGAAAGUUGCUUAGAACGACGAGACGAAUCCGGAUACGCAGCCCAUUCGACCGCCACGUAUCCCUAGCAUAGCGGACACGCAACUUUCCCCCUCCAAUUCAUUUGUCCGAAAACGCGAAACCCCGGGGAUAUUUUUCCGGAUGUUUCCCCCCUUCACCGGUAUCACCUCAUACCGCGUUAGAGCACACCUAGCAUCACGCUUUGUCAUGUCAUGCAUCGUCAUGCAUUUGUUUGCAUUAUAUUUAUUGUUUCUUCCCCCUUUUCUCUCGCUAGACACCGAGAUCGACGCCGCUGCUACCCAGUACGACUACGGUGUUGACGGCCCCUCUCUCUUGCCAGAGCAACCAGGCAAGCCCCCCCCCCCCUUGAUCACCAGAUAUCGCCUACCCUUCUCUNNNNNNNNNNNNNNNNNNNNNNNNNNNNNNNNNNNNNNNNNNNNNNNNNNNNNNNNNNNNNNNNNNNNNNNNNNNNNNNNNNNNNNNNNNNNNNNNNNNNNNNNNNNNNNNNNNNNNNNNNNNNNNNNNNNNNNNNNNNNNNNNNNNNNNNNNNNNNNNNNNNNNNNNNNNNNNNNNNNNNNNNNUCUCUACUGCUUGUAUUAGAGUAGUGUAGCAUGUUACUGCUUUCCGCUAAUCCUAUUCUGAUGCAUAGCCUGUCAUUGUUGCUACAACUGUUGAUACCUUACCUGCAAUCCUAAAUGCUUAGUAUAGGAUGCUAAUUUAUCAUCAGUGGCCCUACAUUCUUGUCUGUCUGCCUUGCUAUACUAUCGGGCCGUGAUCACUCGUGAGGUGAUCACGGGUAUAUACUUAUACAUAUUAUAUGAUACCUGUGGUGAUUAAAGUCGGGUCGGCUCGUUGAGUACCCGCAGUUGAUUCCGAUGUUGGGGGCUGGAGGGGCAGGUGGUUCCACCCAGGUAGUGGUGGGCCUAGGUUCCCGACGGCUCCCGACUGUUACUUUGAGGCGGAGCGACAGGGCAGGCGGAGACCACCUAGGAGAGAGGUGGGCCUGACCCUGGUCGGCAUUCGCGGUUACUUCAAAAUAACAUGCUUAACGAGAUCUGGGUAUUUGAUCUGAGUCUAGCCACUGGCCUAUACGCACUAACCAACUACGCGGGAACAGUUAUGGGAACUCGACGUCGUGGUAUCAGCCGAAGCCUUCGUGACGUCAACGACUGAGCGACGCGCGCCGGGUUGGACUGGAACGCCUGCUCUUGUAUAAGGGAGGCUAGGUCUGCUCGCCGGCCGCGUACGCAACGUGCAGGUGUGCAAUGGGCGAUGGGCCCAGACCCCUGCGCCAUAGGAUUUAGACCGGCGUGCUGACCUCUCUGUUGUGCCUAGGUAGGGCUGCGACGUGUUGAUCUUCCGAGGCCGGACAUGACCCAGAAAAGUGUGUCUGGACAAAGGGGAUCGAGCGUGUUGGGAAAUGUGGUGCACCCCUGCAGGGAAGUUUAUCUAUUCGAAUAGCUGUGAUCUUCGGUAACAUGACGACUUGGAGUUGUACCUUGACCUUAUGACAACUAGAACCGGAUACUUAAUAAAACACACCAUUCCAAGUGCCAGAUACAACCGGUAAUCGCUCUCUCAUAGGGCGAUGAGGGGAGGAUCAUCGGUUAGGAUUAUGCUAUGCGAUGUUACUUGGUGAACUUACCAUCUACUCUCUUCUUCUGCUGCAAGAUGGAGGUUACCAGAAGCAUAGUCUUCGAUAUGACUAGUUAUCCCCCUCUUAUUCCAGUUUUGUGCAGUUCAGUCCACAUAUGCUACCCCUUUUUCAUUUGAUACCAAUGCAUGCAUCUGUAGUGUAGCUCCUUGCUUGCGAGUACUUUGGAUAAGGAUUCACGGUUGCUUUGCUCCCCCUUUUUCCCCUUUCUAUAGCCGAUUGUUGCAACCAGAUGUUGGAGUCCAGGAGCAAGACGCCACCGUUGACGAUGACUCCUACUACACUGGAGGCGCCUACUACUACGUGUAGGCCGCUAACGACGACCAGGAGUAGUUUAGGAGGAUCCCAGGCAGAAGGCCUGCGCCUCUUUCGAUCUGUAUCCUAGUUUGUGCUAGCCUUCUUAAGGCAAACUUGUUUACUUAUGUUUGUACUCAGAUAUUGUUUCUUCCGCUGACUCGUCUAUAAUCGAGCUCUUGUAUUCGAGCCCUCGAGGCCCCUGGCUUGUAAUAUGAUGCUGUAUGACUUAUUUUAUUUGUACAAUUGUGUUGUGAUAUCUUCCCGUGAGUCCCUGAUCUUGAUCGUACACGUUUGCAUGUAUAAUUAGUGUACGGUCAAAUCGGGGGUGUCACAAAAGUUAAGAGAAACAUAUACCGAGCUAGACAUGAGAGAAAUAAAACAGCAAGAUUAAAUCAUUGAUGACCCACAAGUGUAGGGGAUCUACCGUAGCCUUUUCGAUAAGUAAGAGUGUCGAACCCAACAAGGAGCAGAAGAAAAUGAUAAGUAGUUUUAAGUAAGGUAUUCUCUGUCAGCACUAAAAUUAUCGGUAACAGAUAGUUUUGUGAUAAGGUAAUUUGCAACGAGUAGCAAGUAAUAAAAGUAAAUAAGGUGCAGCAAGAUGGCCCAAUCCUUUAUGUAGCAAAGGACAAGUCUGGACAAACUCUUAUAUGAAGGAAAGCGCUCCCGAGGACAUAUGGGAAUUAUCGUCAAGCUAGUUUUCAUCACGUUCAUAUGAUUUGCGUUCGGUACUUUGAUAAUUUGAUAUGUGGGUGGACCAAUGCUUGGGUACUUCCCUUACUUGGACAAGCAUCCCACUUAUGAUUAACCCCUAUUGCAAGCAUCCGCAACUACAACAGAAGUAUUAAGGUAAACCUAACCAUAGCAUGAAACAUAUGGAUCCAAAUCAGCCCCUUACGAAGCAAUGCAUAAACUAGAGUUUAAGCUUCUGUCACUCUAGCAACCCAUCAUCUACUUAUUACUUCCCAAUGCCUCCCUCUUGGCCCAAAUAAUGAUGAAGUGUCAUGUAGUCGACGUUCACAUGACACCAGUAGAGGGAUGACAACAUACAUCUCAUCAAAAUAUCGAACAAAUACCAAAUUCACAUGACUACAUAUAGCAAGACUUCUCCCAUGUCCUCAGGAACAAACUAACUACUCACAAAGCAUAUUCAUGUUCAUAAUUAGAGGGGUAUUAAUAUGCAUAAUGGAUCUGAACAUAUGAUCUCCCACCAAGUAAACCAACUAGCAUGAACUACAAGGAGUAAUCAACACUACUAGCAAUCCAUAGGUACCAAUCUAAGGAUUGGAUACAAAGAUUGGAUACAAGAGAUGAACUAGGAUUUGAGAUGAGAUGGUGCUGGUGAAGAUGUUGAUGGAGAUUGACCCCCUCCCGAUGAGAGGAUCGUUGGUGAUGAUGAUGGUGAUGAUUCCCCCCUCCCGGAGGGAAGUUUCCCUGGCAGAACAGCUCCGCGGAAGCCCUAGAUUGGUUCCGCCAAGGUUCCGCCUCGUGGCGGCGGAGUUUUGUCCCGUGAGCUUGCUUAUGAUUUUUUCUGGGACGAAAGACCUCAUAUAUCAGAAGAUGGGCAUCAGAGGGCAACCAGGGGGCCCACGAGGCAGGGGGGCGUGCCCAGGGGCGUAGGGCGUGCCCCCACCCUCGUGGCCAGGGUGUGGGCCCCCUCUAGAACUUUCUCCGCUCAGUAUUUGUUAUUAAUUCCAAAAAUGACUUCCUUGAAGUUUCAGGACUUUUGGAGCUGUGCAAAAUAGGUCUCUAAUAUUUGCUCCUUUU
rnacentral:lncRNA from 1 species